UACGUAGGGGGCUAGCGUUGUCCGGACUUAUUGGGCGUACAGAGCGUGUAGGCGGCCAGGUAGGUCUGGUGUGAAAACUCGAGGCUUAACCUCGAGAUGUCAUCGGAAACCAUCUGGCUAGAGUCCGGAAGAGGAGAGUGGAAUUCCUGGUGUAGCGGUGAAAUGCGCAGAUAUCAGGAAGAACACCAAUGGCGAAAGCAGCUCUCUGGGACGGUACUGACGCUGAGACGCGAAAGCGUGGGGAGCGAACAGG
rnacentral:rRNA from 1 species